rnacentral:rRNA from 1 species
CCUACGGGAGGCAGCAGUAGGGAAUAUUGGGCAAUGGAGGCAACUCUGACCCAGCCAUGCCGCGUGCAGGAAGACGGUCCUCUGGAUUGUAAACUGCUUUUGAAUGGGAAGAAUGUGCUCCUUGCGAGGGGUAAUGACGGUACCAUUAGAAUAAGCCACGGCUAACUACGUGCCAGCAGCCGCGGUAAUACGUAGGUGGCGAGCGUUAUCCGGAUUUAUUGGGUUUAAAGGGUGCGUAGGCGGCUUAAUAAGUCGGUGGUUAAAAGUAGCAGCUUAACUGUUUUACAUGCCAUCGAUACUGUUGAGCUUGAGAUAUUUGGAGGCAGCUAGAAUUUCCGGUGUAGCGGUGAAAUGCAUAGAUACCGGAAGGAAUACCAAUUGCGAAGGCAGGUUGCUACGAAUAAACUGACGCUGAUGCACGAAAGCGUGGGGAUCAAACAGGAUUAGAUACCCUGGUAGUCCACGCCGUAAACGAUGAUUACUAGUUGUUGGGGUUUUAAGCCUUCAGUGACGAACGGAAACCGAAGUAAGUAAUACCACCGUCGGGAGGUACGGCCGGCGACGGUAGAACGUACGAACGAAGUAGACGGCGNGAGACGUGCCGACGGACGACGACGAGGGAGGUAGG